AUCAUCUUCCUUCAUCUUCUGUAGCUUGUCCUUCAAUUUCAAUUUUCGCUUUAGUAUAUUCUCCUCUUCUUCACCCCAAACAAACCCUGAAAACUGCAAAACAUUCCUCUUAAAAUGAUAAGCCUUUCCGCGCCUUCCAUAAAGAAGUCAUUUCAACACCUCUGGUGAGCUUGGAUAGUUUAUAUGCCACAUUUGGAGUGUUCUUAAGCUGUCUGCCUUUGCCCUGUUCAAUGAUGAAUUCUCUGGAGCUAUCCCUAAUGGUGGAAGGAUCAAAGGUUUUUACAGGCUUCUUUUCUCUCACAGGCCAAUCCAGCGGAGUAGUGGGCAGGCGUUGAAAGUAAAUCCUCAGUUUUCUCCUCUGUGAAUUCUUCAGCCAUAUCGAGAUUCGAACGAAUUCAAAAUUUAUGAAGAAGCAAAACGGAGGAUCAGAAAAUAGCAACCAAAUGAGAUCAAAUACCCUCUUCCAGCCAUUCAUGGCACAGACAUUGGAUUCAUGGGUGGGCCCAUUUGUCAUGCUGGUAUUAACACUUCUCACAGGCCAUUGACAAUUGAGGAUUAGUGAGCUGCAUCACCAACUUAGGCACACCUUGGAUACGACAACUAGUAUGUGAUGUUUGUCUUGUCAACAUAGCUAAAAAUCAAUCUAGAAGGAUGAAACCUACAAUGUAGUGUGGGAUGCAUUGACAUUCCUAUUUCUAGUUGGGAUGUAUUUGGAGGGUGAGCAUUAGUGAACCAAGUAAUGAGAUGAUGCAUACAAUAAGGUUGCAUCCACUUCCUAUUGUCAACUGAGCACCAUGUGUGAGUUAAUCACCGUGUACAUGUAUAAUAAUGACCUCAUUUGUUAUGUAUUAUUAUAUUUAUGUCAUUUCUAGUGAUCACAACAUGUAGUAUGGGGUGUUUUUC